UAAUAUAAUGAAUACAGCGGCGCAGUAUCCUAGUCAGAUCUGCCGUCUACCAGGAAGGGCCUAAAAAUCCUUUGAAGGGCACACCUGCGAAACCCCUUGUGUUUGCUUUGAACGCCCAGUUCGGGGUGGAUGCUGGGGGAAAGCGCGGUUUUCCGCGCUUGCAUAUUCAGGGCGGCCUCCAACGGCAUGGAGAUCUCGACCCUGUUUGUGCGGAGACCUGUUUUUGUGCAUUGGCGGGGCCCAUACGCUGGGCACGUUCUUUGUACGUGACAGGCUUGAACCUGCAUCGCGGUUUACAGGCGACAGCCGUAAGCUGUGUGCAGAGUAGCCUGCCUUGAGUGGAAUCUGCGGAUAGGGGAUUUAAACGCCAGUGCUGUGGCCACAGCGCGAAGCGCUAUUGCCCCUUGAAAUAUUUUCUGCAAAAGAGGCUAAGAGACGGUGAGACUGCGGUGGAAAACACCUAGGCUGUUCGGGGAGAACCUGUCCCCGUGACAGGAUGGGGAUUGCAGUGCGGACUAAGUGGCAAUCGGGCAGCGAUGUUGGCAACGCAUCGAACGGGGCUCUAAAGGGAAACCACCUGAUCGGCAACGAGAGGCAGCCUCGGGGGAAAUCCAGCCCGUACCUAAGCCGUAAGAUUUACUCAGCUUGUCGCCGCUGACUACAUUGUAUAC
rnacentral:sRNA from 1 species